GAACAGACCGAAUAAAAGGCUUUAACAAAAUUUGGAUAACAAAAUAGAGAUGGCGAUUGUCAAAAUAAAAGAGUCCGCUAGAUUUUCCUUCACGACUGGGAAAAAAGAAAAGGGCGAGCGGGUGUGCAAGAAAUCAUUCGCGCCGCGAAUAUUAUCCACGGCUUUGACUCAGGGUGUCAACCGUACGUGUUCCGCUGGAUGACGACGGUUUCCCACGACGGCUUUUUCGCGCAACAGGAUACUCAACCCCAAAACUGGAGAACCUCCAGUGGGGGCGUGAAAAGAGGUUGGGCGUUAAGAAGACCAAGUGGAGAGACGGGCAAACAGAAGACAACAAACCCGCAAGUUCUCUUUAGCUACCACACUAUACGACAUAGCUUCGUGUGUGUCUUGUGUGUUCGCGGAUUCGUAGAAACAAACCAAACAAAAACCCGAAAAAAGGAUUACAAUUGGGAAAAUGGCUUCCACUUCAAUUAUUUUUGUCGUACCUUUUUUUUGUUUCUUUUCGAAGAAGAAAGAAGAAAGAAAAAAAAGAAAGAGAAGCUUAAGCUACACAUUUUCUGUUACUCGCCCAGUCAUUAGAACCCAGCGGAGCGUAGAAAUGGUUUUUCUUGGCAAAAGUUACAACAUUUUCCACAUCCCACGAAGUAAUGACUACGGCGUUCAAGCGCUGUCUGACUUUCCCGGCCCAUUAGCCACGAAUAACGGACGCCACAAAAGUUUGAAUGAAAAAGAGGGGAAAAACAAAAUUCUUGAAGAAAUGAACAAAAAUGGAGAAACAAGGGUGCGGAAAAAAUUUAAAAUUCUUCGUUCUAUAAUACGACUUAAAUGGCAAACACGACCUAUAUCAUUUUAUUUCUUAUCCCGUCUUGGGAAACUGACAAAAGAAAUGAUUUAUCGCUCAGCUUCGGGACAACCUGCUGUUUGCUUCGACGUCUUCGUGUCAUUUCUGCCAACGCAACUCCAUUACGGCCGUCGGACCGUCUCAUUUUAAUAUGUGUCUGCCUGAAUAAUACACUAGACUAGCCAGUUACAUGUU